GUAGGGGGCAAGCGUUGUCCGGAUUUAUUGGGCGUAAAGAGCGUGUAGGCGGCCAGGUAGGUCGGUUGUGAAAACUGGAGGCUCAACCUUCAGACGUCGACCGAAACCCCCUGGCUAGAGUCCGGGAGAGGAGAGUGGAAUUCCUGGUGUAGCGGUGAAAUGCGCAGAUAUCAGGAAGAACACCCGUGGCGAAAGCGGCUCUCUGGAACGGUACUGACGCUGAGACGCGAAAGCGUGGGGAGCGAACAGGAUUAGAUACCCUGGUAGUCCACGCCGUAAACGAUGGGCGCUAGGUGUGGGAGGUGUCGACUCCUCCCGUGCCGCAGCUAACGCAUUAAGCGCCCCGCCUGGGGAGUACGGCCGCAAGGCUAAA
rnacentral:rRNA from 1 species